rnacentral:rRNA from 1 species
UAGGGAAUCUUCGGCAAUGGGGGCAACCCUGACCGAGCAACGCCGCGUGAGUGAAGAAGGUUUUCGGAUCGUAAAGCUCUGUUGUAAGAGAAGAACGUGUGUGAGAGUGGAAAGUUCACACAGUGACGGUAACUUACCAGAAAGGGACGGCUAACUACGUGCCAGCAGCCGCGGUAAUACGUAGGUCCCGAGCGUUGUCCGGAUUUAUUGGGCGUAAAGCGAGCGCAGGCGGUUUAAUAAGUCUGAAGUUAAAGGCAGUGGCUUAACCAUUGUUCGCUUUGGAAACUGUUAAACUUGAGUGGAGAAGGGGAGAGUGGAAUUCCAUGUGUAGCGGUGAAGUGCGUAGAUAUAUGGAGGAACACCGGUGGCGAAAGCGGCUCUCUGGUCUGUAACUGACGCUGUGGCUCGAAAGCGUGGGGAGCAAACAGG